UCAAGUGACUAAGUGUAUGUGGUGGAUGCCUUGGCGAUCAUAGGCGAUGAAGGACGUGUAAGCCUGCGAAAAGCUGCGGGGAGUCGGCAAAAAGACUUUGAUCCGCAGAUGUCCGAAUGAGGAAACUCACCGGGUAACCGGUAUCACAAACUGAAUACAUAGGUUUGUGAAGCGAACGCAGUGAACUGAAACAUCUAAGUAACUGCAGGAAAAGAAAUCAACCGAGAUUGCGGCAGUAGCGGCGAGCGAAACCGCAGCAGCCUAGUCUUUGAUAAUGCAUGGUGACAGCAGAACGGUCUGGAAAGGCCGGCCACAGUGGGUGACAGCCCCGUAUGCGAAGUCCGGUGCAUGGUACUAAAAAGACGAUAAGUAGGGCGGGACACGUGACAUCCUGUCCGAAGAUGGGGGGACCAUCCUCCAAGGCUAAAUACUCAUGAUCGACCGAUAGCGAACCAGUACUGUGAAGGAAAGGCGAAAAGAACCCCGGGAGGGGAGUGAAAUAGAACCUGAAACCGCAUACAUACAAACAGUAGGAGCCCUACGGGGUGACUGCGUACCUUUUGCAUAAUGGGUCAGCGACUUACGUUUUGCGGCAAGCUUAACCGAGUAGGGGAGGCGCAGCGAAAGCGAGUUCGAACAGAGCGAUAGAGUCGUAAGGCGUAGACCCGAAACCAGAUGAGCUAACCAUGGCCAGGUUGAAGGUGUGGUAACACACACUGGAGGACCGAACCGACCGGUGUUGCAAAACCGGCGGAUGAGCUGUGGUUAGGGGUGAAAGGCUUAACAAAUCUGGAGAUAGCUGGUUCUCCCCGAAAACUAUUGAGGUAGUGCCUCGUGAAUGACUCCGGGGGGUAGAGCACUGUUAUGGCUAGGGGGACAUGGCGUCUUACCAAACCAUGGCAAACUCCGAAUACCCGGAAGUUGAAUCACGGGAGACAGAGCACCGGGUGCUAACGUCCGGACUCAAAAGGGAAACAACCCAGACCGCCGUUUAAGGUCCCAAAUACAGGCUAAGUGGAAAACGAAGUGUGAAGGCUAAGACAGUCAGGAAGUUGGCUUAGAAGCAGCCAUCCUUCAAAGAAAGCGUAAUAGCUCACUGAUCGAGUCCUCAUGCGCGGAAGAUGUAACGGGGCUAAGUCUGUAACCGAAAGCGCGGAUUUGUACGCAAGUACAAGUGGUAGGGGAGCGUUCUGUAAGCCUGCGAAGGUGUGUGGUAACGCAUGCCGGAGGUAUCAGAAGUGCGAAUGCUGACAUGAGUAACGAUAAAGCGGGUGAAAAGCCCGCUCGCCGUAAGCCCAAGGUUUCCUGCUCUACGUUCAUCGGAGCAGGGUGAGUCGGCCCCUAAGGCCAGGCUGAGAAGCGUAGCUGAUGGGAAGCAGAUUAAGAUUUCUGCACCGACGUUAAGUGCGAAGGGGGGACGGAGUUUUGAGCAUCAUCCGGGUGUUGGAUGUCCCGGUUUGUGCGUGUAGGAGGCCGGCAGGCAAAUCCGCCGGCGAAUCUCCGAGACAAAGCAUCGAGCUGCAUUUUGCAGUGAAGUGAUGGGAUGAACUUCCAGGAAAAGCCUCUAAGCAAUAGCUUAAUGUCGACCGUACCGUAAACCGACACAGGUGGGCGAGUUGAAUAUACUCAGGCGCUUGAGAGAACUCGGGAGAAGGAACUCGGCAAAUUGACACCGUAACUUCGGGAUAAGGUGUGCCUUUGUAGUGUGAAGAGUGAAACACUCCGAGCAUGAAGAGGUCACAGAGAAUAGGUGGCUGCAACUGUUUACUAAAAACACAGCACUCUGCAAAGACGAAAGUCGACGUAUAGGGUGUGAUGCCUGCCCGGUGCCGGAAGAUUAAGUGAUGGGGUGAGAGCUCCUGAUCGAAGUCCCGGUAAACGGCGGCCGUAACUAUAACGGUCCUAAGGUAGCGAAAUUCCUUGUC
rnacentral:rRNA from 1 species